rnacentral:tRNA from 2 species
GGAGAGGUGGCAGAGUGGUCGAAUGUGCCCGACUCGAAAUCGGGUGUGCCGUAAGGUACCGGGGGUUCGAAUCCCUCCCUCUCCGCCA